GGAGGGGUCGCAUAGUGGCCUAGUGCGGGCGCCUGCUAAGCGCUUACCGGUGGAAACGUCGGUCGAGGGUUCGAAUCCCUCCCCCUCCGCCA
rnacentral:tRNA from 3 species